AAAAAGAAAACCAAGAAGCUAUGCUCAGAGUGAAAGACUUUGAUACAUAAUUUAUUUUGACAACUAUACUGUUAUAAAAACAAGAUUCUCUUUCAUUACUCGGAACCAUGGGACCAACUAAAUACAAUUAUCUACAAAGCGAAACCUGAAUUUUAAUACAGUUGUGGCUCUGUA
rnacentral:lncRNA from 12 species